GGGCCUGUAGUUCAGUUGGUUAGAACCCCCCGCUCAUAACGGGGAUGUCACAGGUUCGAGUCCUGUCGGGCCCACCA
rnacentral:tRNA from 1 species